rnacentral:rRNA from 1 species
CGAACGGGUGAGUAACACGUGGGCAACCUGCCCAAAANAGGGGGAGUAACACUUGGAAACAGGUGCUAAUACCGCAUAACCAUAGUUACCGCAUGGUAACUAUGUAAAAGGUGGCUAUGCUACCGCUUUUGGAUGGGCCCGCGACGCAUUAGCUAGUUGGUGGGGUAAAGGCUUACCAAGGCAAUGAUGCGUAGCCGAACUGAGAGGUUGAUCGGCCACAUUGGGACUGAGACACGGCCCAAACUCCUACGGAAGGCAGCAG